UUUGUGCAGCUCAUGCUGCUGCUGGUUGCUGGUUUGUGCCUGUUCUGAGCUUUGUGCAUGUUUGCUGCUGCUGCUGGUUGGUUUGUGCUUGUUUUGAGCAUUUUGUUUUUCAGGCUGAUGCUGGGGUUGUGGGUUACUUGCUGGUUGGUGCUGUUUUGUUUGAGCUUUUGUUGCUUGUUUUGGUUUUAAUUGCCUGUGGGUUACUUGCUGUUAUGGUUUGCCUUGCCUGUGGUUUUCCUUGCACUUGAUAUGUGGCAAUGAUGAUGAUCAACGUUUACUGAGAAUGCAACCUAACUUACCUCGUUUAUUAUAUCCAGAUGAGGCAAUAUUUGAGAUGAGAUUGCAGCCUACAUUGAAUUGGCAAUGUCUAGGCGAGGCAAUUCAUCCUUAUAAUGCAAUCUGUAAUAAACAUGUUUAAGUUAUAGGUGGGGCAAUCAAUGAUGACAAGUUGAUAUAUUUCUGAGCCAUACAAUAUCAAUUAGAAUUUGUACCCAGUUCAAACAACAGUUUUCUUUACAUCCUCAGUAGUUCUUGCAAGUACAGUUACAUGACAUGAAGUUUGUAAUAAUUAAAAUAACACUAAAAAUUCCUAAGAAAAUUGCAGAAAUUUUCCAAACUAGUAGUUGAUUUUCGACAAGUCUCAAUUCUUUCUUCAGCUUCUUUGAUUGCAAAAUAUAUUUUUCUCCGUACCUAUUUUCUUGGACAUAUUGGCUUUCUUGGUUGCUUGAUGACUCUCCUCUUUCUUCAGCCCAUUCGAAAAAAUUACAUUCUUUAUUUGGGAAUUUUGCACACCCCCAAUAACACCUACCCUUAUUUUUGCCAUUCUUGCACACUUUCAUCGGUGUUCUGAGAUGGCAGUCACAAUAAACUUCAUAAUCCUGCCAGCACUCUUCUGAUAUCAUUUUCAUGUCGGGUUGGCAAAUUGAAGACAAUGGGAAUUUUAUAAAUGCUGAAAAUGAGAGUGCUUGGAUUAGUUGUGAGCCCUCAAGGUGAAUUUAUAGCCACCAUGGCCCUCUUCUAGCCGUUGCUACAGUGUUCUGUCAUAUUUUUUCAAAUCUGGAUUUUUAAGCUGAAAUUGAUCCGUUGCUACAGUGAUUCCAGCAAAAAAAGGGUAUUUAUGGCCUCUUCUAGCCGUUGCUACAGGGAUUUUUGAAUUGAUACAAAGACUAACUGUUGCUACAGUGUCUACUCCCAAAAAAGAGAUUUUUUUUGAAGCAAACAUGGUAUUAGGAAUUGGACCAUUUCUAUAAAAGUUGGAUUCCUAAUCCACAAGGUGAAACAAACAUAGAAUGCCAAAAAAAUAGGAUUCCAUAAAACUAUAACUUAUCUAUAAAAAUUUUAUGGAUUAGGUUGGAAUCCAUAAAUAAAAUAGGAUUCCUAAUCCUAUUCCUAUCCUCUAUUGAACCAAACAGGCCCUAACUCUGCACAUCACAUAUUUGAUGAAUUGUCUCAAAGAACACCUCACUAAGAAAUCUCACCAUUCAUCACAGGUUCUCAAGGAGAUGCAAGACAAGCGAGUCAUUGCAAAAUGGCGACCCAAAAAAGUUUGAUAUAGAGAAUUUUUACGUUGGUGCAAUUGUGGGACUCAAUUUUAUUAACUGAGAGUAAAUGCAUGAAUUAUUGAUGCCAUCAUUAGUAUCAGGCCAUCAGGGAGACCUUUACUGGGAAGGAUGUUAGGCUACAGUCUAGAAUUAAGGAAUCAGAUGAAUGGACUUGACCGAGAAAUUAAAUUCCUGCCUGCUUUUCUCAAUUCAGGACAUUGACGCCUGCAUUCAGCGCACAAGCAACAUGAAGAAUUUUUAGGUGGAUAUAUCAUUUAGAGCUACCAUCAUAAUUCUUGUCCCCCCAUUUUGUACAUGGCAGUACAAAAUUGGUAGCUUUGUAUCUCGACCUGCACGCAUUUCUCAAUAAUAUUAUGCCAGUUUAGAUGAUUCUUGAGUCCUAAAUCAACAAUGUUGUACGUUUACUGACAUUUAUAUGAAAGUAACAAUACCAGUACCUGACGCAGUGUAAGAUCCUAAGGUACAGCUGGUAGUCGAAGGCAGAUCAUUCCUCGACUGAUGAGUGUUCUAACUUCUAAAUUCAGUCCUUAUUGAUGAUUUCGUAGGAUUUUAGAUUCUUUUCUGAGAUUGAGAGAAGUAUGAAAUUCUCAAAUCUAUAUUUUUUUUCUAGUUAACUCU